ACAUUCUAAUCAUCAUGAAAGCCUUCACGGAGCUUCCCAAAGCUCGGAUGUGACAAAGGCACAAGGCCAACAGUAGAGUGGAUGAAAAGAGGUCUGGUAUUUGUGAUGGAAAAUAAAAAAGCAGAUGUCAUGUAAGCCAGUCCAUCUUCCUAUAGGAGCUGCCAUUGCUGCACCACCUGCAGAGCAGAUCAUCCAUCUGUACACCCAUACAGCUGCAAGUGACCUAGAAUUACGCAUCCUGAGAUCAUGCUAGACCAAAAGAAGGUGAUUUUUUUAACUAUGUGUUGCUCUCAUGUCUGGUCAUGUUUCACGAGUAUCUUUGCCCUUUGGAUUCCCAAACCCUAGAAGCUGGGGGGCAGGGGGAGGGGUGGCUGCUACAGGCAUUAUUCAGUGCUUCCCUUUGUUUUCUAUUUUAGAGUAGGAGAUUGAGAAUUCUUCUGGUGAUGUAUGGGACAAAAGCAUAGCUAUGAAAGAUGCAGCUGUGGCACCGUUACAAUUCAUUUGCCUUAGAAGGCCCUUUAGGA
rnacentral:lncRNA from 1 species